UACGGGGGGGGCAAGCGUUGUUCGGAAUUACUGGGCGUAAAGGGCUCGUAGGCGGCCAACUAAGUCGGACGUGAAAUCCCCAGGCUCAACCUGGGAACUGCGUCCGAUACUGGAUGGCUUGAAUCCGGGAGAGGGAUGCAGAAUUCCAGGUGUAGCGGUGAAAUGCGUAGAUAUCUGGAGGAACACCGGUGGCGAAGGCGGGUCACUGGACCGUCUCUGACGCUGAGGUGCGAAAGCCAGGGUAGCGAACGGG
rnacentral:rRNA from 1 species